AGAUAUUAAAUAGCCGCGGUAUCUUGACCGUGCAAAGGUAGCAUAAUCAUUAGUUUUUUAAUUGAAAACUUGUAUGAAUGGUUGGACAAAGAAGGAACUGUCUCUUUUAUUAAAAUUGAAUUUAACUUUUAAGUGAAAAGGCUUAAAUUUUUCAAAGGGACGAUAAGACCCUAUAAAGCAUUUGGUUGGGGCGACAAUAGUAUAAUUAAUAACUGCUUUAAAAUAAUACAAAUAUAUUUGAAGUUGAUCCUUUAUAAAGAUCUAAGAUCAAGUUACUUUAGGGAUAACAGCGUUAUUUUUCCUGAGAGUCCUUAUCAAAGGAAAAGUUUGCGACCUCGAUGUUGAAUUAAAAUGUCUUUAUAGUGCAGCAGCUAUAAAAGAAGGUCUGUUCGACCUUUAAUAUUUU
rnacentral:rRNA from 1 species